rnacentral:rRNA from 1 species
AGAGUUUGAUCCUGGCUCAGAACGAACGCUGGCGGCGUGCUUCAUACAUGCAAGUCGAACGAGAAAAUUCCGCUUCGGUGGAAUGAGUAGAGUGGCAAACGGGUGAGUAACACGUGGGCAACCUGCUCUCAAAUUGGGGAUAACCUCGCCAACGCGGGGCUAAUACCGAAUGUUGUCCUAAUAUCGCAUGGUAUAAGGAUGAAAGCUUUUUUUUAAUAAGAAGGCGUUUGAGAAGGGGCCCGCGUCCUAUUAGCUUGUUGGUGAGGUAAUGGCUCACCAUGGCUGCGAUAGGUAGCCGGCCUGAGAGGGUGAUCGGCCACACUGGGACUGAGAUACGGCCCAGACUCCCACGGGAGGCAGCAGUAGGAAUAUUGCGCAAUGGACGAAAGUCUGACGCAGCAACGCCGCGUGAGUGAUGAAGUUUUUCGGAACGUAAAACCCUGUCAGGAGGGAAGAAACUCCCGAUUUUUUCGGGACUGACGGUACCUCCAGAGGAAGCUCCGGCCAACUCCGUGCCAGCAGCCGCGGUAACACGGGGGGAGCAAGCGUUGUUCGGAUUUACUGGGCGUAAAGGGCGUGUAGGCGGAUGGGUCAGUCAGAUGUGAAAUUCCAGGGCUCAACUCUGGACCUGCAUUUGAUACUUCUCAUCUAGAGUAUGGGAGAGGAGAUCGGAAUUCCUGGUGUAGCGGUGAAAUGCGUAGAUAUCAGGAAGAACACCGGUGGCGAAGGCGGAUCUCUGGCCUAAUACUGACGCUGAUGCGCGAAAGCUGGGGGAGCAAACAGGAUUAGAUACCCUGGUAGUCCCAGCCGUAAACGAUGGGCACUAGGUGUUGGGGGUAUUGAUCCCCUCAGUGCCGGAGUUAACGCAUUAAGUGCCCCGCCUGGGGAGUACGCUCGCAAGGGUGAAACUCAAAGGAAUUGACGGGGGCCCGCACAAGCGGUGGAGCAUGUGGUUUAAUUCGAUGCAACGCGAAGAACCUUACCGGGGUUUGACAUGCCCGUCAUACCUUGAUGAAAGUCAAGGGUCAGUUCGGCUGGACGGUGCACAGGUGCUGCAUGGCUGUCGUCAGCUCGUGUCGUGAGAUGUUGGGUUAAGUCCCGCAACGAGCGCAACCCUUACCCUUAGUUGCCAGCACGUAAUGGUGGGAACUCUAAGGGGACUGCCUCGGAUAACGGGGAGGAAGGUGGGGAUGACGUCAAGUCCUCAUGGCCCUUAUGCUCCGGGCUACACACGUGCUACAAUGGUCGGUACAGAGGGCUGCGAAACCGCGAGGUGGAGCUAAUCCCAGAAAGCCGAUCUCAGUUCGGAUUGGAGUCUGCAACUCGACUCCAUGAAGUCGGAAUCGCUAGUAAUCGCGAAUCAGCAGGUCGCGGUGAAUACGUUCCCGGGCCUUGUACACACCGCCCGUCAAGCGAUGGAAGCUGGUGGUACCCGAAGCCAGUAGCCUAACUUUUCGAAGAGGGAGCUGCCGAAGGUAAAACUGGUGACUGGCGCUAAGUCGUAACAAGGUA